AUUGAACGCUGGCGGCAGGCCUAACACAUGCAAGUCGAACGGUAACAGGAAACAGCUUGCUGUUUCGCUGACGAGUGGCGGACGGGUGAGUAAUGUCUGGGAAACUGCCUGAUGGAGGGGGAUAACUACUGGAAACGGUAGCUAAUACCGCAUAACGUCGCAAGACCAAAGAGGGGGACCUUCGGGCCUCUUGCCAUCGGAUGUGCCCAGAUGGGAUUAGCUUGUUGGUGGGGUAACGGCUCACCAAGGCGACGAUCCCUAGCUGGUCUGAGAGGAUGACCAGCCAAACUGGAACUGGGACACGGUCCAGACUCCUACGGGAGGCAGCAGUGGGGAAUAUUGCACAAUGGGCGCAAGCCUGAUGCAGCCAUGCCGCGUGUAUGAAGAAGGCCUUCGGGUUGUAAAGUACUUUCAGCGGGGAGGAAGGGAGUAAAGUUAAUACCUUUGCUCAUUGACGUUACCCGCAGAAGAAGCACCGGCUAACUCCGUGCCAGCAGCCGCAGUAACAC
rnacentral:rRNA from 1 species